rnacentral:tRNA from 1 species
AAGAAAUUAGCUUAAUUGGUAGAGCAGUCGUUUUACACGCGAACGGUUAAGUGUUCAAUUCACUUAUUUCUUA